UACGGAGGGGACUAGCGUUGUUCGGAAUUACUGGGCGUAAAGCGCACGUAGGCGGAUUUGUAAGUCAGGGGUGAAAUCCCGGGGGCUCAACCUCGGAACUGCCUUUGAUACUGCAAAUCUCGAGUCCGGAAGAGGUGAGUGGAAUUCCUAGUGUAGAGGUGAAAUUCGUAGAUAUUAGGAAGAACACCAGUGGCGAAGGCGGCUCACUGGCCCGGUACUGACGCUGAGGUGCGAAAGCGUGGGGAGCAAACAGG
rnacentral:rRNA from 1 species